rnacentral:lncRNA from 1 species
CCCCCUGGAGUUUGCCUAGGUUUGGUGUUAACUUCUCCUGUGAGCUCACUCUACUCUCUCCUCCUCCCUCUUAACUCUGAGGUUAUCCCUUCAUUUAAAACCCUUUUGGU